GACGAACGCUGGCGGCGUGCUUAACACAUGUAAGUCGAACGAUGAAGCCGGAGCUUGCUCUGGUGAAUUAGUGGCGAACGGGUGAGUAACACGUGAGUAACCUGCCCUUGACUCUGGGAUAACUGCGGGAAACUGUAGCUAAUACCGGAUACGACCCUCGGAGGCAUCUCCUGGGGGUGGAAAGAAUUUCGGUCAAGGAUGGACUCGCGGCCUAUCAGCUAGUUGGUGAGGGAAAGGCUCACCAAGGCGACGACGGGUAGCCGGCCUGAGAGGGGGACCGGCCACACUGGGACUGAGACACGGCCCAGACUCCUACGGGAGGCAGCAGUGGGGAAUAUUGCACAAUGGGCGCAAGCCUGAUGCAGCAACGCCGCGUGAGGGAUGACGGCCUUCGGGUUGUAAACCUCUUUUAGCAGGGAAGAAGCGAAAGUGACGGUACCUGCAGAAAAAGCACCGGCUAACUACGUGCCAGCCGCCGCAGUAA
rnacentral:rRNA from 1 species